GCAGAUACAUUCCAGCCAAUCAGCAGCAGACCCUCCCUCCCAGACCCUCCCACCUCCUGGACAGCAUCAGAAGCUGCAUUCUUAUGAGCUGUCCAGGAGGUGGGAGGGUCUGGGAGGGAGGGUCUGCUGCUGAUUGGCUGGAAUGUGUCUG